ACAGAAGCACACACACACAUACACAGUGCUUGUGCAUAUAUGUGUGUGUGUGUGUGUGUGUGUGUGUGUGUGUGU